UGCAUAACUAGGGAUCGUAUACAUACAAAAUGAGACAAAACAAUAUUUAAAUAGUUUCUAAUUAUAAGGUAUGGCACGUUUUAUGGUAUGGUGGCCAAUACUGAUUUUAUUUGCAAUUUUCUUUCAGAUAUGGGACCCUAUUAUUUGGAGAACUGCAGAUUUUAUGAAGCUGUCUUUGACAGAAGAUUUGGUUUUCUCCAUCUGUGUUGCCAUCAACCAUUAUGCUGAGAAUGAGAUGGUCAUAUCUAGGGGGAAGGGUUGCCAUAUACUUCCCAAGGAAGUUUGCAGCCUCUCACUGAAGAGGAACUGUACAGAUUUUUGUGCAUUAUCUUAUACACGCCUGCUGUGAAGUUCCAGUCGAUAGACAGAUAUUGGUCAACGCAUGCCCCUGUCGGAACAACUCAUUAUCAAGAAUUAUGUCUAGAAAUAGGUUUCAAGAGGUUAAAUAUAAGAACAUUUUUGUUAAAUAUGAUGCAAGUACAUUUAAAUCUAGUGAUUGAAAGUAAGUACUUGAACAUUCGUAUAUGUUGAACUUGGAGAGGAAAAAUGGUUAGUACUUUUUGAUAACCUUUGAUAAGGUGUUGUUGCUUAGCAACCAAAUAUAAUUGAAUAAAAAAAAUAGAUUGUUUUAGAUUAACAAUAAUUGAAAGAUCUUUGUUUUAAUGUUGCAAUACUUAUUCUAUUUAAUGGAACAUAAUGGCAAAACGUCAUAUUAUUAGAAAAUGAUGGACAAGUAUAUAAAGUACGAAGUUUCCAUUUGAUGACCUUUGACCUUAAUUCUCUUCAUCAUAUUUUUGUGAAAAACCUUUUAAAAUGAUUAAGAUCUAUUUAAAGAUUAUAUCUUUAAAAUAAUGUGACAUUUACUAAUCAUCAUGGAUUGUAAUUACGUUUAAAUUGUGUCGAAUGGAUGCAGAAAGGCAAAUUAUGGUCAAAAUUGUACUAUGAGUGUUGUUACUUAGCAACCAAAAAUAUUUGUUUGUCAAUAAAAUUGAUUAGUUUGA